GACGAACGCUGGCGGCGUGCUUAACACAUGCAAGUCGAACGAAGAGCGAUGGAUGCUUGCUUCUAUCAAUCUUAGUGGCGAACGGGUGAGUAACGCGUAAUCAACCUGCCCUUCAGAGGGGGACGACAGUUGGAAACGACUGCUAAUACCGCAUACGAUCUAAUCUCGGCAUCGAGGAUAGAUGAAAGGUGGCCUCUACAUGUAAGCUAUCACUGAAGGAGGGGAGUGCGUCUGAUUAGCUAGUUGGAGGGGGAACGGCCCACCAAGGCGAUGAUCAGUAGCCGGUCUGGGAGGAUGAACGGCCACAUUGGGAACGGGACACCGCCCAGACUCCUACGGGAGGCAGCAGUGGGGAAUCUUCCGCAAUGGACGAAAGUCUGACGGAGCAACGCCGCGUGAGUGAUGACGGCCUUCGGGUUGGAAAGCUCUGUUAAUCGGGACGAAAGGCCUUCUUGCGAAUAGGGAGAAGGAUUGACGGUACCGGAAUAGAAAGCCACGGCUAACUACGUG
rnacentral:rRNA from 1 species